rnacentral:tRNA from 1 species
GUCAGGAUGGCCGAGUGGUCUAAGGCGAUACGCUUAGAACGUACUCUACUAAAGUAGGCGUGGGUUCGAAUCCCACUCCUGGCA